GAUGAACGCUGGCGGCGUGCCUAAUACAUGCAAGUCGAGCGAACAGACGAGGAGCUUGCUCCUCUGACGUUAGCGGCGGACGGGUGAGUAACACGUGGAUAACCUACCUAUAAGACUGGGAUAACUUCGGGAAACCGGAGCUAAUACCGGAUAAUAUAUUGAACCGCAUGGUUCAAUAGUGAAAGACGGUUUUGCUGUCACUUAUAGAUGGAUCCGCGCCGCAUGAGCUAGUUGGUAAGGUAACGGCUUACCAAGGCAACGAUGCGUAGCCGACCUGAGAGGGUGAUCGGCCACACUGGAACUGAGACACAGUCGAGACUCCUACGGGAGGCAGCAGUAGGGAAUCUUCCGCAAUGGGCGAAAGCCUGACGGAGCAACGCCGCGUGAGUGAUGAAGGUCUUCGGAUCGUAAAACUCUGUUAUUAGGGAAGAACAAAUGUGUAAGUAACUAUGCACGUCUUGACGGUACCUAAUCAGAAAGCCACGGCUAACUACGUG
rnacentral:rRNA from 1 species